AUUGGGAAAUGCUGCUUUACAUGCUUUAUCAGCCCAUUCAAAACAAUCCAGGACAUCGAAUCCUUAUAUUAAUGACGAUGACUGCACAUCACAAGAUGAAAAUGGCCUCCAGACACCAAAAUACAGAAUAAUCCUUCAAUCCAUUGAGAUAUGAUAGGCUUUGGCAAUCCCUUUGAGCAACACUUGCUCAACAUCAAAAUAAAAUGAAAUUCGGUUAUGGUCCGUUGGCGGCCAAUGAGCAGCGCCACCACAGUUAAUGCCAGCAAAGGAGAGAAGGAUAUCUUCAUCCGUAUGGAAGUUUAUCCCUAACAAAUUCUAAGAUGAAUAAAUGUCAAAUUCGAUACGUUUUCUUAUAAAAAUCCUCUAAUCGAACAGAAAGGGCCUUAUGUUGCAAUUAUUUCCGAGGAUCAAAAGCCAAGCAAAGAGCCAUAACAAACGACCUAAAUUCCUCGGGAAAAUAUCUCGAAUUGCGAAAUGGUUGGAUUAUGGAUAAAACUCCCGCUGGUCGUUCCCAUUUUAAAAUACCAGUAAACAAGCAAGCCAUUACACGACUGCGUUAUUUUGACACCAUUCACACUCAGAAUAACCGGGGCAGAGGCAGCAAACCAUGGGCAAUACAAUAUUGUCUUUAAGAGAGGAGCCGGAAUUCAGGGGAGACACGGAAGCCAUUGUCCCUGAUCAAAACUGCAAAUUUUCCCAUUGCCCCGAGGAUUUUUCUCUUACACUGCAUUCUGCAGUGUCAACUGUCAACCCAACAAACGCCCUUUCAUGAGCGAGUCUACAUUGACCGCAAAAAGAUUCAUAGAAAGAAAACAAAACUCCUAAGCAGCAUAUUUCCACCCCAUAAAUUUUUUGGGGAGAUGAGUCCACAAUUAUAAAUCAUCCCAGUGGAACAAACCAAAGAGUACGAACCCAAAAAAAAAAGAAGUAAUCGAACGUCUGGCUGAUCUACAAACAAGUUCCUUUGCUAUCAUUAAACAACUCCGUUAAAAGCAAUAACUUCAAGCUGUUUUUGGCUUUGGCUUAAUGCGCUUCACUCUUGAAUAGAGAAAAACUCCAGCAAGGGCAAUCCCGGUGCCGAGAGAGUUUAUAGGUGAAACAGGCGUCUGGAAGAACAAGACAGAGCUCACAAUGACCACCACACGCUUCACGCAAUUGCCCACAGAAUGGGUAACAGGGGACACCCUCUGCAAUAUCAUGUAGGAUACCUGCAAAAUAUAACUCACAAUAUCAAGCAUGGCUUGUAGUAGCCCAUAUGUUUGGAGUUAGAAUACCAAUGGUAAAAGUUUUGAAAUGCUUUUACAAUCGUGUUGAGCACUUGGUUCCACUGCCUUAACUCUUCAGAUUGUCUAUUUUUUCAUAAUUGCAAAUGCGCGUUCAAAGUUCAAUUCCAAAUUGUAUGAAUUCACCAUUACUUAUGUAGUUCCACUAAUUAAGUAUAGCCUUGAAGUUCCCACCAAGUUAAAGAGAUCAAUUCAAUGUUGAAAUUACAGAAAAUGAACUUUUCUCCAACAAUAAGCAAUACAAAUAUUUAACCUUCAAAAAUUAUUACUUUCAAAUGUUUGAAAGACAAGUACUACAAGGUACAAUAAAAAUACUUAAGAAAAGGCAAGUGCAAGUAAUCAUUCAUAAGAAACACAAGUUGUGUGCUUGAGGAAGAUAAAAGUCAUAUGCAAAAUGGACAAUACCUGCUGAUAGGCAUGGAAGCAGAGAGCAGCAAAAAGAGACCUAAUGUACACCUCUUUAACAUUCAACCCAGCAGAUUGGAGGUAGGCAGGAGUAAACUUGACACCUUCCAUGAAGAGAGAUACAGGGGCUAACAAGAUAAAGGACAUAAUUGUUAUUAUUGAGAAGAGAGUAAUGUUGUCAACGGAUUCCUGUUAAUGAACAAACCACAAAUCAUUCACAAAUUAGAACAAAAUAAUCCAAAUUUAAAUAUCAAGGCAUAAGAAGACAAAUUGGUGCAUGCAACUAACUUCAGAAAAUGGCUUAUUCUGUAAUUCAAUCAAGAAACAAAACCAAACAAGUCCAAAUAAACUAAUUACUGGAACUGUAUGAAUCUGAAAGGUAGAAAUUACCUCUUUGUUAACCAUGACCUUUUUGCUUAGGACAUUACGAGAUUGGUUUGUCAAAUUGGAAGCCAUUGCACUCCAAAACCCCACCCAAUUGAAAGAGACCUCAGUUGCUGAUGCAAGUGCUACACCACCAACAAUUGGCAGAAGGGAACCAACUACCCAGAUAGUAGGCAACUCACCAAGAAACAUAGCAGAAAGAACAACUGAGAAGAAAGGUUCCAUGGCUUUGAUCGUGUGAGUGAAUGAAACCGCCACUUUCCCAAGACUCAUAUUAGUGAAAAGGUUGCCUAGUGUGUGAACCACUGCCAGUGGCACAAUUGCAGCAAGCUGAGCUCCACUAACUUUUGGCCUUUUGUAGAGAUUGAAAGUCCACAUAAGAAUCACUAGCAAUGUCCCAACAGCAAACUGAACUACAGUAACAGUUACUGGGUACGGAUAGACCUUCAAAACCUGCUUGUUGUAGAUAUUGAAAUAUAUAUUGAAAAGAAACCAAAGCCCAAACAACAAUCCAAGCUCCAAAGUCUUGAUCAUGCUACUCGAUUUCUCGCCCUCAUCAGCAUUCUCCGGCACUGCCGUCGCCCUGACCUUGAACAGCUCCGUUUUAGGCUUGGAAACUAGAGGAGGCAGAGGAUUCCAAGGCCUGAGCUGCGAGGAAGACGAAGCGAAGGACCAGGAUCGGCGGGGGAAAACAAUAUUGCUGGAGGUGUCUAGAUCCUGGCGUCUAGAUGAAGCGCGAAUAGGAUCGUAUCUAGCAGUAAAGCUAGUGUUAACCAAAGACCUCGGAGGCUUAAGCGGAAGAAGCGAGGGAGAAGAAGAGACAGUGAAGGCUACGCUCUGCAUUUUCGCGAUCCGAAAAACAGAGCGCCCUUCUUUUUUCUUUUUAGCAGAGGAAUCAGUGAAGAGAAAUAAGUGAGGGUUUAAUAGAAGGAGAAAAGCGUUGGAAAGACCGCCGAGCGCUUGCAGCGAAUGGCAACAGGGAAGGGAGGAUAUUCCUUGGGACUAAUUAAGAAGAAAAAAAAAAAGUUGGUGAGAUUUUGAUUUUCUCGCGAAAUCCCGGUUUAUUAAAAAAUCUAGGAAAUUUCUUGGUGAGCAGAAAUAUUGGUCAGAUCAGCUGGCGGGCACGAAAUGUUUGGUGGGCGAAGAGAAGCAAAAGCCACUCUCUCCACGUCUUGACUUGAGCCAAAUUGGAAAUCCAUUUCUAC
rnacentral:misc_RNA from 1 species